rnacentral:lncRNA from 1 species
UCAUUUUCCAGAAUUUUUGUGUUUUUUAGGAAUCCUGAACCCGUUUUUCCAGGUUUUCUGUGUCUCCCAAUCCCAUUUCCAGCUCUUGAAUCCUGAAUCCGUUUUUCCAGGUUUUCUGUGUCUCCCAAUCCCAUUUUCCAGGUUUUUUGUGUCUCCCAAUCCCAUUUUCCGGGUUUUUUGUGUCUCCCAAUCCCAUUUUCCAGGUUUUUUGUGUCUCCCAAUCUCAUUUCCCAGGAUUUUUGUGUCUCCCAAUCCCAUUUUCCGGGUUUUUCGUGUCUCCCAAUCCCAUUUCCCGGGUUUUCCAUUGCCCUCAAUCCAGUUUUCCGGGUUUUUUGUGUCUCCCAAUCCCUUCUUUCCAGGUUUUUUUUAUUCUUUAUUCCACAUCUUUGGUAUUUUGGGGAAUUUCCUGCCUAUCCCAAGGAAUUUUUCCGUCUUUUCCGUGUUUUCCCAGCUCUCCUGGCGGGGCUGGCGGGCGGAGCCCAGCAGGUCCCGGCCGUGUCUCCUCCCUUUCCCUUGGUGUCCCCAAUCCCAAUUUCCCUGGAAUUUUGUGUCCCCAAAUCCCAUUUUCCAGGUUUUUUAUGUCCCCAAAUCCCAUUUUCCAGGUUUUUCGUGUCUCCAAAUCCCAUUUUCCAGGUUUUUUGUGUCUCCAAAUCCCAUUUUCCGGGUUUUUUGUGUCUCCCAAUCCUCAUUUUCCAGGAUUUUUGUGUUUUUUAGGAAUCCUGAUCCCGUUUUUCCAGGUUUUCUGUGUCUCCCAAUCCCAUUUCCAGCUCUUGAAUCCUGAAUCCAUUUUUCCAGGUUUUCUGUGUCUCCAAAUCCCAUUUUCCAGGUUUUUUAUGUCCCCCAAUCCCAUUUUCCAGGUUUUUCAUGUUUCCCAAUCCCAUUUUCCAGGUUUUUCAUGUUUCCACAUCCCAUUUUCCAGGUUUUUUGUGUCUCCCAAUCCCAUUUUCCGGGUUUUCCAUUGCUCACAAUCCAGUUUUCCGGGUUUUUUGUGUCCCUAAAUCCCAUUUUCCAGGAUUUUUGUGUCUCCCAAUCCCAUUUCCCAGGAUUUUUGUGUCUCCCAAUCCUCAUUCUCCAGGAUUUUUGUGUUUUUUAGGAAUCCUGAACCCGUUUUUCCAGGUUUUCUGUGUCUCCCAAUCCCAUUUCCAGCCCUUGAAUCCUGAAUCCAUUUUUCCAGGUUUUCUGUGUCUCCAAAUCCCAUUUUCCAGGUUUUUCAUGUUUCCCAAUCCCAUUUUCCACGUUUUUUGUGUCCCCCAAUCCCAUUUUCCGGGUUUUUUGUGUCUCCCAAUCCCAUUUUCCAGGUUUUUUGUGUCUCCCAAUCCCAUUUUCCAGGUUUUCCAUUGCCCUCAAUCCAGUUUUCCGGGUUUUUUGUGUCUCCCAAUCCCUUCUUUCCAGGUUUUUUUUUACUCCCCACUCCCCAUCCCUGGGAUUUUUGGGAUUUUCCUGCUUAUCCCAAGGAAUUUUUCCGUGUUUUCCGGGUUUUUUGUGUCUCCCAAUCCCAUUUUCCGGGUUUUUUAUGUCUCCCAAUCCCAUUUUCCGGGUUUUUUGUGUCUCCCAAUCCCAUUUCCCGGGUUUUCCAUUGCCCACAAUCCAGUUUUCCGGGUUUUUUGUGUCUCCCAAUCCCUUUUCUCCACGUUUUUUUUUACUUCCCCCUGUACAUCUUUGGAAUUUUUGGGAUUUUCCUGCGGAUCCCAAGGAAUUUUUCCGUGUUUUCCGUGUUUUCCCAGCUCUCCUGGCGGGGCUGGCGGGCGGAGCCCAGCAGGUCCCGGCCGUCUCCUCCCUUUCCCUUGGCGUCCCCAAUCCCAAUUUCCCUGGAAUUUUGUGUCCCCAAAUUCCAUUUUCCAGGUUUUCUGUGUCCCCCAAUCCCAUUUUCCCAGGAUUUUUGCAUUUCCACAUCCCAUUUUCCAGGUUUUUUGUGUCUCCCAAUCCCAUUUUCCGGGUUUUCCAUUGCCCUCAAUCCAGUUUUCCGGGUUUUUUGUGUCUCCCAAUCCCUUUCCUCCACGUUUUUUUUUACUUCCCCCUGUACAUCUUUGGAAUUUUUGGGAUUUUCCUGCCCAUCCCAAGGAAUUUUUCCGUGUUUUCCGUGUUUUCCCAGCUCUCCUGGCGGGGCUGGCGGGCGGAGCCCAGCAGGUCCCGGCCGUCUCCUCCCUUUCCCUUGGCGUCCCCAAUCCCAAUUUCCCUGGAAUUUUGUGUCCCCAAAUUCCAUUUUCCAGGUUUUCUGUGUCCCCCAAUCCCAUUUUCCCAGGAUUUUUGCAUUUCCACAUCCCAUUUUCCGGGUUUUUUGUGUCUCCCAAUCCCAUUUUCUGGGUUUUUUGUGUCUCCCAAUCCCAUUUUCCAGGUUUUUUGUGUCUCCCAAUCCCAUUUUCCGGGUUUUCCAUUGCCCUCAAUCCAGUUUUCCGGGUUUUUUUGUGUCUCCCAAUCCCUUUUCUCCACGUUUUUUUUUACUUCCC